UACGUAGGGGGCAAGCGUUGUCCGGAAUUAUUGGGCGUAAAGAGCGUGUAGGCGGUCCGGUAAGUCAGCUGUGAAAGUCAAGGGCUCAACCCUUGAAAGCCGGUUGAUACUGUCGGGCUAGAGUCCGGAAGAGGCGAGUGGAAUUCCCGGUGUAGCGGUGAAAUGCGCAGAUAUCAGGAGGAACACCGGUGGCGAAGGCGGGUCUCUGGGCCGAUACUGACGCUGAGGAGCGAAAGCGUGGGGAGCAAACAGG
rnacentral:rRNA from 1 species